rnacentral:rRNA from 1 species
GCAGUCGAGCGAACAGAAGGGAGCUUGCUCCCGGAUGUUAGCGGCGGACGGGUGAGUAACACGUGGGUAACCUGGCUGUAAGACUGGGAUAACUCCGGGAAACCGGAGCUAAUACCGGAUAGUUCCUUGAACCGCAUGGUUCAAGGAUGAAAGACGGUUUCGGCUGUCACUUACAGAUGGACCCGCGGCGCAUUAGCUAGUUGGUGGGGUAAUGGCUCACCAAGGCGACGAUGCGUAGCCGACCUGAGAGGGUGAUCGGCCACACUGGGACUGAGCCACGGCCCAGACUCCUACGGGAGGCAGCAGUAGGGAAUCUUCCGCAAUGGACGAAAGUCUGACGGAGCAACGCCGCGUGAGUGAUGAAGGUUUUCGGAUCGUAAAGCUCUGUUGUUAGGGAAGAACAAGUGCGAGAGUAACUGCUCGCACCUUGACGGUACCUAACCAGAAAGCCACGGCUAACUACGUGCCAGCAGCCGCGGUAAUACGUAGGUGGCAAGCGUUGUCCGGAAUUAUUGGGCGUAAAGGGCUCGCAGGCGGUUUCUUAAGUCUGAUGUGAAAGCCCCGGGCUCAACCGGGGAGGGUCAUUGGAAACUGGGAAACUUGAGUGCAGAAGAGGAGAGUGGAAUUCCACGUGUAGCGGUGAAAUGCGUAGAGAUGUGGAGGAACACCAGUGGCGAAGGCGACUC